CACAGAGUUAGCCGGUGCUUAUUCUGCGAGUAACGUCCACUAUCCUAGAGUAUUAAUCCAAGUAGCCUCCUCCUCGCUUAAAGUGCUUUACAACCAAAAGGCCUUCUUCACACACGCGGCAUGGCUGGAUCAGGCUUGCGCCCAUUGUCCAAUAUUCCCCACUGCUGCCUCCCGUAGGAGUCGGUGGCCGUGUCUCAGUCCCAGUGUGGCGGAUCAUCCUCUCAGACCCGCUACAGAUCGUCGCCUUGGUAGGCCUUUACCCCACCAACUAGCUAAUCUGACUUAGGCUCAUCUAUUAGCGCAAGGUCCGAAGAUCCCCUGCUUUCCCCCGUAGGGCGUAUGCGGUAUUAGCAUUCCUUUCGGAAUGUUGUCCCCCAUAAUAGGCAGAUUCCUAAGCAUUACUCACCCGUCCGCCGCUAGGUCAGGUAGCAAGCUACCUUCCCCGCUCGACUUGCAUGUGUUAAGCCUGCCGCCAGCGUUCAAUCUGAGCCAGGUA
rnacentral:rRNA from 1 species